rnacentral:misc_RNA from 1 species
GCACGAUCUUUACGUUUGUUUCAUAUUUUUUUAAGCUAAUUCUUCCAAUUCAAUACAACUGGAACACCAAACAGGCAACCAUUGACAACAUUAGUUCUGGGAUUGCAUUCUAUUUGAUCAUAGAGUAUGACAUCUUACAAUUGCUUAAUAGAAGUAACAUAUAUGGCAAUUUAUCAAGGAAAAUGCAGACAAUUUUACUUUUGAGAAAAUAAAUAAAUAAAUAAAAUAUAGCCUAGCAUUUAAAUUUGAUGCAUGAGCAUCAUCGGCCUCAUCCAAAUGCAGUUGUUGAGAUGGUACUUAUUUCUUGUUUACUUGAAGAAGAAGAAGUUGUACCAGCAAUACCUUCUCUUUCAACAAAGGCUGGCUGCUUAGGUGCUGGAAAGGUUGCAGUGUCACUGUUGAGCAUAACAAUAACAUAUGACAUGUCAGGCCGGUCAGCUGGAUCUUCUUGAACGCAUAACAGUGCGAUGCGUAGGCACUUCAAAAACUCAUUGCUGUUACAACUUUCACUCAUCGUCUUGUCCAUGAAAUCCAAUGCCUUGUCUUCUCUCCACAAUCUCCAUGCAUAACUCAGAAGGUUUAAAGCUUGUUCAGGCUUAAAUACUCCGGUACUCCUCCUUCCACUCAGAAUUUCAAGCACAACCACGCCAAAGCUAAAAGCAUCUGAUUUAACUGAGAAAAGCCCAUCUAAUGCGUACUCUGGGGACAUAUAGCCGCUGCAUUUUAACAAUUAUCAAGACAAUUAGAGGAUUUUUUUUUCCAACAGCUUAGUCAGGGUCAUAUAAAAUUCUGCAUUGAUAUAUGAAUAAUCAACCCAUGAGGGUUGUGUUUGAGAGGCUGUUCAUCCAGAUCCACAAGCCAACUGGUCAUUCCCCAAAAGAUAUCCCCAGGAGGUAAUCGGGUAUGCACAUUUAAAUAUACACUGCGUAAGUGAAACUUACUAAGUUCCGACUACUCUGUUUGUGCUUCCCUCUGUUUGUUUGCCUUCAAAUAUCCUUGCCAAGCCAAAGUCUGAAAUUUUGGGGUUCAUUUCUGCAUCUAGUAAAAUGUUGCUUGUUUUCAAAUCCCUAUGAAUAAUCCUCAACCUAGAAUCUUGGUGCAGAUAAACAAGUCCUCGAGCAACUCCUAUAAUGAUAUUGAAGCGCACCUCCCAAUUCAGAAGCAUGCCAAGCUUUUCAUCGAAUAAAUAAGAAUCUAAACUUCUGUUAGGCAUAUAUUCAUAGAGUAAAAUCUUUUCAUUUCCGUGAAUGCAAUAGCCCAAAAGUCUUACAAGAUUCCGAUGUUGAAGUUUAGCAAUCAGCACAACUUCAUUUUUGAAUUCCUCUAACCCUUGUCCUGAAACACUUGAAAGUCUCUUUAUAGCAAUUUCCUGGCCCCCUGGAAAUAUACCCUUGUACACAGGCCCAAAGCCCCCUCUUCCAAGCUUGUUCGCAUCUGAGAAAUUAUCAGUGGCAGCUAGUAUGCUGUCUAAAUUGAAAAAUGGUACAUCUAUGCCCUUCUUGUCCUCUUCUUUAAAAUCUUUGGAGCCCAUCAAGUCUUUGAUGCGUUUCUCAGUGCCACACAAUAGCGCUGCAUUUCUUUCAAUGUUUUCUCUUUCUGAAUUCAGCAUUGUAACCAUAGACUUAAGAAAUGAAACAAAUAUCUGAGUAGAACCCCAAAAAUUCAGUUCUGACAUAAAAGACGGAAAAUUUUUCUACUUACCUUGUCUUUUUCUCAUCCUUCUUCUGCAUAUGCAUAUGAAAGCAAUGGUGCAUGAAAAAACUAUGACACUUGCAAUAGUUACUCCAAUGAUUAAAAGCAACGGUGUCUUUCUUCUUGAGGCUAAUUGCUUUGGAUAACUCGUAUUUUCUACGGGAAGAAAGAGGAAUAUCCUUAUGUGUCAAAUUAGAAGAAAAGAACCUACAAAGUCUUUACUGUAAGAAAUACGUGUCAAAUUCAAACAAUAUAUGGUUUUCAUUGACUUUUGCAGUGUUUUGUCUUGCAGUGCCAGAUUGUCAUCUUAUUUGGCACCCUGCCUUUUAGGAGAUAUGGCUUGACUCACAAGGAAAUUCUUAUCUGCAUUGGGUUCUUCACCGACUCAAGACAUAUACUUGUGAGAUUCACUGUUUAACAAGUGAGUGUUACUAUUUAUAUUAUUAUAUAUAUCGUGUCUUACGUCCAUAGUGUACCGGAUCUAGUUAAAAGAAAAAUCCGACUCACAAAUACACGGACAUAUAUAUGCAUGCAUGGUAGACCCUCAAGUAACUGGAAAGUUCAACACGAAAGUGGAAAGGCAACAUUGCAGUUUCGUGGACAUGAUAAGAUUCUCACCGGAAGUAAAAUUCAGCGCUGAUCCAUUCCAUCGAAAGUUUGCAUUACAAAGGCAUCUUCUCAUGCCAUUUCCUGUCACUUUGCAUGUUGAAUAUGGCCAAUCCUUGCAGUCAGCAGAUGACCUGCAGCUUGGCUCUGGGGGCGGAUCCCAACUGAUCUCUAUUUCAUCCAUACCUUUUGACAAAAUAUUAGCACUAAAAUUCUUCACCUCAUCAGUACAGUAGUGGAUUUCAUUAAUCACUUUAAAUGGUAAUGACUGGUCAAGAUACAGAAUUUCACUAUUUCUAGCAUUGCAAUUAUCUGCUUCUUUGGCUUGGAUGACAAAUUUUCUUGUAAUUGGAUUGAUACUGGUGACAUCAUAAGUUCCGGUAGGUACCUUAAAGUUAAGCUUUCCUGUGGAGUUGUUGCAGUAGAAAUUCUUGUACAUAGGAUCACCACAAUUUGAUCCAGUGCUUAGGGGAUAAGGAAUUAAGUUCGUGCCACAAGCUUCACAAUUUCUAGACGUUGAUUCUGAAAAGGUUGAAACUUGUCAUUACAGAACAAAAUUCUAAUGAGCAAUCAGGUGAAGGGUUUAUAGGCAGUUCAUAACUAACCAGAUUCCUGAUAGGAUUAGGAAUACUAAGGAAGAUUCUAAUCUGAUAACUAAAACAAGGCAAACAAUUUUACGAAGAUUGCUUAAGAAAUUAAAAAUUCUCAAAUAAUACUGAAGCCCUAAAUUUCCUAUGUAGAAAAGCUACAAGAAAUAUGGUUUUCCAUUACUACACCAAGAAGCUAAGUAAUUUCCAGAAACUUAUCCAAAUUAAUUGAAAAAGAACAGGAGAAGAAAGUAAGUACCAAUAUCGGACCUCGCUACACGGACAAAGAGGUCAUGACCAUUAUGAUAGUCCUCCUGUAGAUUGCUAAGAUCCUCUGUCCAAAUCCAGCAGGUGGGGCUACUAGGUUCAACGUCUCUCCGAGAACUAUUACCUUCAGUAUAGGAAUAAGCCUGGCAUCGGCAUUCGCUGAGACACUCCUCUCUGCAUUUUAUCUCAUUAACAUCAUAUUUUGAUUCUGUGUUGGCCACUUUCAUCAUCUUCAAGUUCAAGAAGAUGUCAUUCUUGCCGCAUGAUGUUGACUUUCUAUUGCAUCCACCAGAAAAUUCUCCCUUGUUCCAAUCUUCUGGAUGUUGGGGCUUGAAACCUGGCAAACAUUUACAGGGUAUUUUGUUGUUGUUAUUGCAGCUGCCAAAGCUUCCACAAGCUUUAAGAGCACUGCAUCUGUCUUUUGGCUCCCGCCAAAUUAAUGACCAUUCAUUCCGCUCAUCCAAGAUCCAACAUUGUAUCUCUCCUGUAAAACUCAUCACAAUCCUUGUCUUAUUAUAACUGGAGGGUAAAGGAUGGCCUUCUGACCUGUGAGGCCCAACAUUUUUGUUAAAGUUGAAUAAAAGGUAGGCUACUGUGGAAUUUACUUCAUCUGUACUAAAGAAUUCACCAGAUACUCCACUUCUCCAAUAAGGGAAAGGUCCAUUCCAAAUGAUGAACUGGUUCUUAUCGUCUUCAUAUGGAUUAAACUUGAAUUUUCCAGGUGCUGGAUCAACGUGACUAGUCCAUGAAGUCAACGCGAUGUUCUGGUCCAUCUUCAUACCUGAAAUAAAUGUAUCAGUUGGGUUCUGAAAGCUCUGCCAUAUGAUUAUCGCUAACUGAUUCCUCAAGACCAAGUUCCCAGAAUCCAAAAGCUUAGCUUCCCAGUAACGCCGAUAUCUUGGUGAUGGUGUUCCAAGCUCUGUUGACCAGAAAAGAUUUCCAGAUUUAUCCAGUACCGUGAGGUUGCCGUCAUGCACAGCAAAACAUCCAUCAACGUCCGAAAGUGGCUUGUUUCUAUUGGCAACCCAUAUGACUGUUAUUGGAUUUAAUCCGUAAUACCAUAUCCCUACAUACCUUUUGGUAUCAGAGCUUCCAGCAGGAGUAAAGAAUCCCAGUUCAAAUCUUUUUUCAGCGGAAAUAAGGGUUUCUCCAUCGGUAAGUGAACUGUUUGAUGAGAUGGUAUCACUAGCAAAGGAAUUUAGAAGUGAAAAGCACAAUAUGAACACACAAGAAAAGAAGAUGGUAUUUAGCAUAUUUUCCAAAGAUUCCAAAGAUUAUAGUGGUUGUUUUGGUUAUCAUCAAGAUCAAAAGGAUGUAUCUAAUCAGAGAGCAGUCAUCCAUACACAAGGGCACGCUGUGGCCAAUCAUACAAGAACCUGUAGAUUUCCCCUCAUCUCGUUGUUCUUUUGUGGAAAUGGUGCCCAGCAAGAGUCAGAGGACUCACGGCAGGCACUAAAAGACACAUCCAUGUUUUACGUUUAAUGCUACUCUCAUUGUUACAGUCUAAA